rnacentral:rasiRNA from 1 species
CCGGUACUGAACUCGCAG